CAGAUUGUCGGUGUGUCUGGAUGUAUAACAGAGCUCCACAGCAAUAAUACUCCCAGUAAUGUGUCUGACUGUAUAACAGAGCUCCACAGCAAUAAUACUCCCAGUAAUGUGUCUGAGUGUAUAACAGAGCUCCACAGCAAUAAUACUCCCAGUAAUGUGUCUGAGUGUAUAACAGAGCUCCACGGCAAUAAUACUCCCAGUAAUGUGUCUGACUGUAUAACAGAGCUCCACAGCAAUAAUACUCCCAGUAAUGUGUCUGACUGUAUAACAGAG
rnacentral:lncRNA from 1 species